GGCGGUGCGUCAGAGAUGGAGAGCUGUAUCGGUCUGUAAAACCGAUCCCAUUGGGUGAGUAGGUUCGAUUCCUACCGCUGCCA
rnacentral:tRNA from 3 species